CUAGGUAUUGGUGAAAGAUACAGUGGGAUCUUCAAGGUGCUGGGGUGCUCAAGGUCUCUUGCUUCUGUGUACAGGCCACAAACUCGCUUGGCUUGGAGGAGCAAUUACUGCCUGCCCGGCAUUUGGAAGGUGUUCUUGCAUGGGCAGGGUAUUUGCCAGCUGAGCUGAACGCGUGUCUGUGCAUUUGUCUUUCCAGGUGACCCAAGACAGCUGGAAGAAGCAACCCAAAAUCCAACCCGUGGGUGCUGACACCUGAGAGCUGCCUUUCCCGUCUGCUCCAGCCCUACACCAAGGAGCUGUUUCAGCAGAAGCAUCAACUUCGUGUACUUCUUGCUGCUUAGCAUCAACACUGAGAGAGCCUGAACUUCUCCAUCUCUUGUUGCCCCAAACCCUCUCUGUUCUCGUCCUGUCUUCUGGCAUCCCCUGUGCUGCAGAAACGUGCCACGAACGUAAAGGCUGCAGCCCAGCAUGUGGUACAGCUGCAUCGCCCAGCCAGGGACCCUCCCUCACCCACCACCGUCCUGCUCUCUUGCCACCAGACUGA
rnacentral:lncRNA from 1 species